AUUCCAGCUCCAAUAGCGUAUAUUAAUGUUGUUGCAGUUAAAAAGCUCGUAGUCGGAUUUCAAUGCGGGUUGACCGGUCUGCCGAUUGGUAUGCACUGGCCGAGCCGUAUUUCCUCCCGGAGACCUCGUCUACUCUUAACUGAGGCGGACGGGGGAAACGGGAUUUUUACUUUGAGGAAAUCAGAGUGUUCAAAGCAGGCUUUUGUAUGUAUGUGUUAGCAUGGGAUAAUAAAAUAGGACUUGGGUGCUAUUUUGUUGGUUUCGAACACCUAAGUAAUGAUUAAUAGGGAUAGUCAGGGGCACUCGUAUUCCACCGAGAGAGGUGAAAUUCUUAGACCAGUGGAAGACGAACUUCUGCGAAAGCAUUUGCCAGGGAUGUUUUCAUUA
rnacentral:rRNA from 1 species